rnacentral:tmRNA from 1 species
GGGGAUGCAUUGCAUCGACAGAGAUAGCACUUUUAAAAUUGCAAGCCGGCUUUGAGACACAGCCGUCCGCGAAAGCGAGAUCUCGCCUUAACAGGCGGAUAAAACAGUCUCAAAACAUAAAUGCUAGACCAAGUUCUAGUGACCUAGCUUACGAACGCAAUCUUGCUUACGUAAACUAAGCUCUGUCUGUAUUGACCCUUCUCAACGGGACAGUACGGGCAUAAACAAAGUUGAGAAAAGGAUAUGAGGCUGGUUACCUUAUAUUAUCUUUUAACCUUGGUUUUAGGACACCCUUGUCAAUCAGUUAAGCCUAAAACGACAAUUAAAGAUUGACUACGCUUGUAGAUAUUUUAUAGGUACUGUUUUUGGACGCCGGGUCAUUCUCGGCCAUCUCCACAC